ACUGUGCUGUAGCCUGGGCAACAGUGAGACCCUGUGUCAAAGAAGAAGAAGAAAAAAGACACCAACAACCUAGAGAUAGUAAAGUGGAAAUACAGGAAGGACCCGGUCCUCCAUGGCAUUAAGCAAGGGCACUGCACUGGUUAUCUCUGGACUUCUUGUUAUGGGUAAUAUUUUGCCACAUUGAAUCCAAAUCCUUUUUAAGAAACAAAGCAUAAAAUACAAUGAAGUCCUCGCUUUAUGAUGCCAGUUCCCUCCCCCAUUCCCAUUGUUUUGAAGUUGGUGUGUAUCCUCCUGUGCUUUUGAUAUGUUUCUGCAUAUGCAGGUAGCCAUAUUAAAAAUAUUUAAUGUCAUUCCCUGCAUUUUAAAAUUUUCAUAAAAGCAUCAUUCUGUAAAUACACUGCACUUGCUUUUUUUACUCAGCAUGACUUUGAGAUUUAUCCCUGUUGCUACAUAUAAAUCUAGUUUAUUCAUUUUAACUACUAAAUGUUAUUACAUUAUGUGAAUAAACCACAGUUCAUUUUUCUAUUCCCCUACUGUGGAACAAUUAGACUGUUUCUAAUUUUUUUAAUAUUAUAACCAAUGCUUCAGUGAACAAACAUUUGCAUUCCUCUUCAUGCCUGUGUAUGAGAGUUUCUCUAGAUCUAUCCAUAACCAAUAACCAUACAAGUACUGGGCUGUAGGGUAUUCACAUCUUCAACUUCACAUAAGUUUUAAGCUUUAAUAUAAUUUGAAUUAAUCAGUUUAUUCAAUAUGUUUUGAGCUUUGGUGUCUAAUUUAGGAAAUACUCGUCUCCACUUAAGGUCCUAGAAAUAAUAUCAUAUCCUCGAAAGAGUCUGAACAUAAGAGACCUUCAGAUAGGGAAAGGAAGCAGUGAGUCUUGACUGGUGUGGCCCAGGUCAGGGAAGACCUGAAGUGGGACAUUCUGGAGGGCUAGAUACUUGAGGAAAGUGGAGGCAGGAUGCCCCAUUCUGCACCUUUCACGGCUUGCUGCAGGGAACCCCUGCACUACUGGGUCUCUAAGCCUCAGAUUCCUAAUAUGUAAAAUGGGUAUAACAAUACCAUCCUUCCCAUGCUGUUUUCUAGAAGAUAGAAAUGAUGCACCUAACAUCACACCUAACACACAUUAAGGGAGCACUUAAUGAAGAGUAGCUAUACUUGUUAUCACUAUCAGUUAUCAUCG
rnacentral:lncRNA from 1 species